rnacentral:rRNA from 1 species
UACAGAGGUCCCAAGCGUUGUUCGGAUUCACUGGGCGUAAAGGGUGCGUAGGUGGCCAGGUAAGUUUGGUGUGAAAGCUCGGAGCUUAACUCCGAAAAGUCAUUGAAUACUAUCUGGCUGGAGGGUCGGAGGGGAGACUGGAAUUCUCGGUGUAGCAGUGAAAUGCGUAGAUAUCGAGAGGAACACCAGUGGCGAAGGCGGCAUCCUGGACCGGUAUUGACGCUGAGGCGCGAAAGCCAGGGGAGCAAACGGG